UACGUAAGGGGCAAGCGUUGUCCGGAAUCAUUGGGCGUAAAGCGCGUGUAGGCGGCCCGAUAAGUCCGCUGUGAAAGUCCAGGGCUCAACCCUGGGAUGCCGGUGGAUACUGUCGGGCUCGAGUCCGGAAGAGGCGAGUGGAAUUCCUGGUGUAGCGGUGAAAUGCGCAGAUAUCAGGAGGAACACCAAUGGCGAAGGCAGCUCGCUGGGACGUGACUGACGCUGAGACGCGAAAGCGUGGGGAGCAAACAGG
rnacentral:rRNA from 1 species